rnacentral:rRNA from 1 species
UUAAAGUAGCGCAAUAAAUUGUCAUCUAAUUAAUGAAUAUAAUGAAGAUUUUAUGAAUUAAAUACUGUCUUUAGAAAAUAUAAUAAAAUUAAUAAUUUAGUGAAAAAUCUUAAUUAUUAUUAAAAGACGAUAAGACCCUAUAGAACUUAUUUAAAAUUUAAAUUUACUGGGGAAGUAAAAAUAAAUAUAAAACUAUUUUUAAAUAUAAAUCUUUUAUUUUAUCAUAUUAUGA